GACGAACGCUGGCGGCGUGCUUAACACAUGCAAGUCGAACGCUGAACCCGCUUCGGUGGGGGAUGAGUGGCGAACGGGUGAGUAACACGUGGGCAACCUGCCCCCGGCUCUGGGAUAACUCCAAGAAAUUGGGGCUAAUACCGGAUGUGACCGCUGGCCGCAUGGUCUGGUGGUGGAAAGGGUUUCCGGCUGGGGAUGGGCCCGCGGCCUAUCAGCUUGUUGGUGGGGUAGUGGCCUACCAAGGCGACGACGGGUAGCCGGCCUGAGAGGGUGACCGGCCACACGGGGACUGGGACACGGCCAGACUCCUACGGGAGGCAGCAGUGGGGAAUAUUGCGCAAUGGGCGGAAGCCUGACGCAGCGACGCCGCGUGGGGGAUGACGGCCUUCGGGUUGUAAACCUCUUUCAGCAGGGACGAAGCGCAAGUGACGGUACCUGCAGAAGAAGCACCGGCCAACUACGU
rnacentral:rRNA from 1 species